rnacentral:rRNA from 1 species
CCUACGUGCGGCAGCAGUGGGGAAUAUUGCACAAUGGGGGAAACCCUGAUGCAGCAACGCCGCGUGAGUGAAGAAGUCAUUCGUGAUGUAAAGCUCUAUCAGCAGGGAAGAAAAUGACGGUACCUGACUAAGAAGCCCCGGCUAACUACGUGCCAGCAGCCGCGGUAAUACGUAGGGGGCAAGCGUUAUCCGGAUUUACUGGGUGUAAAGGGAGCGUAGGCGGCGACGCAAGUCUGAAGUGAAAUGCCAGUGCUCAACAAUGGAACUGCUUUGGAAACUGUGUAGCUAGAGUGCAGGAGAGGUAAGUGGAAUUCCAGGUGUAGGAGUGAAAUCCGUAGAGAUCUGGAGGAACAUCAGUGGCGAAGGCGACUAUCUGGCACAUAACUGACGCUGAGGUGCGAAAGCGUGGGUAGCAAACAGGAUUAGAUACCCCAGUAGUC